CAGCCGCCACGGUAAUACGUAGGUGGCGAGCGUUGUCCGGAAUCAUUGGGCGUAAAGGGAGCGCAGGCGGGCAUGUAAGUCUUUCUUAAAAGUGCGGGGCUCAACCCCGUGAUGGGAAAGAAACUACAUGUCUUGAGUACAGGAGAGGAAAGCGGAAUUCCCAGUGUAGCGGUGAAAUGCGUAGAUAUUAGGAAGAACACCAGUGGCGAAGGCGACUUUCUGGACGAAAACUGACGCUGAGGCGCGAAAGCCAGGGGAGCGAACGGGAUUAGAUACCCCUGUAGUCCCUGUCUCUUAUACA
rnacentral:rRNA from 1 species